GUGCUCACUUUGGCAGCACAUAUACUAAAAUUGGAGCUAUACAGAAGAUGAGCAUGGUCCCUGUGCAAGGAUGAUACGCAAAUCCAUGAAGCAUUUCAUAUUCUA
rnacentral:snRNA from 1 species